UGGGGAAUAUUGCGCAAUGGGGGGAACCCUGACGCAGCAACGCCGCGUGGAGGAAGAAGGUCUUCGGAUUGUAAACUCCUGUCUUCUGGGACGAUAAUGACGGUACCAGAGGAGGAAGCCACGGCUAACUACGUGCCAGCAGCCGCGGUAAUACGUAGGUGGCGAGCGUUGUCCGGAAUUACUGGGCGUAAAGAGCGCGUAGGCGGUUUUUUAAGUCAGAUGUGAAAAUCCAGGGCUUAACUCUGGGCGUGCAUUUGAAACUGGGGAACUAGAGUGCAGGAGAGGUAAGUGGAAUUCCUAGUGUAGCGGUGAAAUGCGUAGAUAUUAGGAGGAACACCAGUGGCGAAGGCGACUUACUGGACUGUAACUGACGCUGAGGCGCGAAAGCGUGGGUAGCGAACAGGAUUAGAUACCCU
rnacentral:rRNA from 1 species